rnacentral:lncRNA from 1 species
AGCCAGGAAUUUUACUUAUAUAUUUUUUAAAUGCUCUUCCUCUUCCUGAAAGACUUACCUUCUACCUUCCAUCUGUUAAACACUCUCUGUCUUUCAGGUGACAGCUCCAGGGGUGCCCCUUGUAUGAUGCCUCCUCUUCUAACUGCAUGCUGGUUCAUAGUCUCCUUCCUUUCUACUCAUGUAAUGCUUUGCAUAUUCCUCAAGCAUGGCACAUAUGCAUCUGCAUGGCAAAUAGUCUUUUCUGAAGGUUGGACUGUGAGCUCCUCAAAGCAGCUUACUGAUUCACAGUAAAUACCAUUCUUCCAUGCAAGUGCUCAAACUGGGACUCUGGGAGCUUGUCCUACCACCUUCUCAACCUUGCUACUACUCAUGCAAUGAGUCAUCAGGUCCUUUGCAUUUUACCCCUAAAUACAACUUGGAGCCUCCAACUCUUUCCACUGUGGCCAUUUAGUUCACGUCAACCUCACGUCUCUUCAGAGAGCUCCUGGCUGGCCCCACUAUUUUCACUCUCCUAAAACUUUCUCUUUUUUCCCUGCUUAAAACUCUUCUGCAAAUCCCCAUUACAGCUAAAAUGAAAUCCACAGAUCUUAACAUCCCCUACAGAUCCCUGCAUGAUCUGGUUCCUUCCUGCCUAUCCAGCUCUAUCUUGGACCUCGGCUCCCUGACCUCCAAAUGCAUUGGCAUCUUCUUUGUCAAGUGCAUUUGUACAUCACAUUUCUUCUGCCUAGAAUGUUCUCUGUCCCACUGUUCACAUAGCUAGCUCCUGCUAUCUUCAGAUCUUAGCUCAAAUGCCACAAUCACAAGUGGACCCCUGAGAUUUUCUUCAGAGGAGUUUAUUUUUUUCUUUAUAGUAUCUAUCAGAAUUUUUAUUUACUUAUCUAUUUAUUUUUGCUUAAAGUCUCUCUUCUCCCCUGGAAUGUAAGACCCAUUGGGAGAGAGAUGCAUCAGUCAUUGUUUUUUUUUCCAUAUAUAUAUAUAUGUAUGUAUAUACACAUACAUAUAUAUAUAGUACUAAGUUAGUGCCUGAGAGUACAGGAGACAUUUACUAAGUAUUUAUUAAAAAAUUAAAUAAAGGAAUGGAUAAAAAUAAAAUUCUUCAAGCAUGACUAUCACACCACUACUAUUGAAUGGGCCCCUUAUUUGUAUUUAGUGUGUUUCUCCCUAGUAAAGGUAAUUAAAAUAUAUAUUUAGUUUUUGUUUUUUUCUCCUAUAGAUAGGUCAUAUAUGAAUAUAUAUAUCAUAUAUAUCACACAUAUAUCAUAUAUAUAUAUCAUAUAUAUAUGAUAUAUAUAUAUGAUAUAUAUAUAUCAUAUAUAUAUAUACUUUUUGUAUAUGGACAGAGUUUUACUCUGUUGCCCAGGCAGGAGUGCAAUGGCGUGAUCUUGGGUCACUGGAACCUCCACUUUCUGGAUUCAAGCGAUUCUUUUGCCUCAGCUUCCUGGGUAUCUGGAACUACAGGUGCCCACCACCAUGCCUGGCUAAUUUUUGUAUUUUUAGUAGAAAUGGGGUUUCACCAUAUUGGCCAGGCUGGUCUCAAACUCCUGACCUCCAGUGAUCCACCUGCCUUGGCCUCCUAAAGUGCUAGGAUUACAGGCGUGAGCCACCGUGCCCGGCCUGUAUUUUUAUAGGUUGUGAAUAUCCUUUUAUUCUCACCUUUCCCUCACCUAGCAGUAACUGGAAGGUGCUAAUUGGCCCAUCUAUGAGCACCUAAAACGCUCCAUCUGAAAAUGCCCACCUCCUGCCCAUGCACCUGUAAGUUGUCCAUCCCUGCACUCUCUGGCCUCCCACCCUCUAGGGGAGGUCUGCUUCCUUCACUUUGGAGAGGGCUGCUGCGCAAGCCAUUGUAGCCCCAUUUUAUAUACAAGGAAACUGAGGCAAGCAUACAGUGAAACAACUUGGCUGAGCUAGAACAGAGUCUCAGGACUACCUGUCAAAGAAGAUAAAUGGACUAGUCAAGGAAAGUUGGGGAGGAAUUCAAACCACAUGCCUGGCCUAGGCUGACAGUGAGGCUUAAUGCAGGUAACCACACUUCACAUCCUGUGCCGGGUUUGAAGUGCUCUGGUGAUCUGCAAAGAGAGCCUCAACACAGCCAACUCACUGCCAAAAAAGAAAUUCUCACUCAGAAUAUUGGCCAAACAACAUUUUUAUUUGAAAGAAACCAAGCCAAAUAAAAACACAUAGUAUUUUCUUCUCAUGCCUUUCCUUGCCUGGGAUAUUUAUUUAUUUACUUUUCUUUCAUUCUCCUGACCACCUCUGACAUUGUUUUUAUUUUGAGGAGAUUUAAAAAUAACUUCCCUGUACUCAUUCAUCUUGCUCUCCUGAGAUAGAGGGAAUUUUCACAUUUUCCAGCCAGUUUUAAUGUAGCAGAAACAAUCAGAGGUGCUGCUGUGACUUUUGGUGUAUUAGAAAAGGGGAGGGCUGGGGCAGGUGGGCUUGGCCAAUAAAAUACAGCUGGGGAACAGGAAACUGCAGAGAGAUUUCCCAGACUUGGCCUGCGCUGCAGCCCCGCUGUGCUCUCCUGUGAAGCUGCACCAGGCCUCUGGGCUGAAUUCCCACCUGGGCUUGAGAGGGCCCUCCCAUGUUGGUCCUUCUUGCUCCCUAGUGCAAGACUUCCUUUGCCCACAACGACACUGCCUCCCAUGUACAGAACAGUGCUAUCGCUAUGACUCAUUUCUGCAUCUUGAUUGCUGAGAUCACUGAUCAGGUUUGUGACAAAACAGCAUCAAAUCUGAAGAGUUGUGUCCUCCCCGCACCACCCCCCUCGCCCCCACCAUUAUUUGCUCACCUUGAAGGUAAUCCAGGAUAGGAGUCCCUCUGAAGCAAACAGAACAUCCAUCAAAGACCCGAAAGAACAUAAGGCCGCAAAUCCUAUCUAUGAAGAUAGGCACUUCCAUUCAUUCUGAAGUCCUCACAUAGUAGUUAUUCAGUGAAUGUACCCUGGGAUCCACUUUUCACCUUUCCCCUUACCUGCUUUGUGCUUCAAGAAACUGACUUCAACAGACAGCAUCAUCUGGGCUUCUUUACCCUGUAGUGUUCAGCUGAGUUCAGCCAAUGGAAGACACUAGUAGAAGACUGGAAGGAUAGAGGAGAGAAAGAUUGGAAUAUUUAUUCCCAUCUCAUACUACAGUUUUUGUAGUGAUGGUUCUUCCUAUUGGACAGCUUCCACCUAUAACUACAGUUCUCUCCUGGUUCCAGAAACUGCUUUCUCCACUUCUGACCUAGGAGUAGCCACAGCUCCCAGCUGUUGUUAGACCCCAGGUGUAUUUUGUCAUCUCUUGUUACUUCCCUUAACCCUGCCACAGCUCUGAAAAUAGUCCAGUAAUUAAAUACUUUUUGAGCUAUUUCUUUGAGUAUACCACCUGUUUGUUUCGUGCCUGGACCCUGAGUGAUACAGUAUAAUAAAUAAUGUUCAAUACAAUAUACAAUGUAAAAUACAAUAGAUAAUACAAUUCCUAAAAACAAAAAGGAAGAAAGGAAAUAAAGAAUAAAAAAAGAAACAAAGAAGGAAAACCGGAUUUCUACCACCAAAAUGAAAUUAUUAUUACAAUUAUAGUGUAUUUACUUUUAGCUUUUUAAAUGCAAUUUUUAUGUAGUCAUUACUGUGGUAUAUAUGUAUUUAUGCUUAUUAAGUAGUUAUUUUUAACAUUGCCUGGUCUCUAUCAACAUCAUUUUUAAUGAUUGGAUAAUGGACUAUUUGGGGGUGUUUUAAUUUAUUUUUCAAG